UUAUUUGUUUGUCCUGUGAUUAUUCUGUGC
rnacentral:piRNA from 1 species